AAUAGAUACCCUGGUAGUCCACGCCGUAAACGAUGCACACUAGAUGACGGGGCCUCUCACGGCGCCGCCGUCGAAGCAAAAGUGAUUAGUGUGCCGCCUGGGGAGUACGGCCGCAAGGCUAAAACUCAAAGGAAUUGACGGGGGCUCACACAAGCGGUGGAGCAUGUGGCUUAAUUCGAAGCAACGCGAAGAACCUUACCUGGGCUUGACAUGCUUGGAUGCCUGGCUUGGAUAACUUGCCAGGUUGCCCUUCGGGGUGAAACUUGCACAGGUGUUGCACGGCUGUCGUCAGCUCGUGCUGUGAAGUGUCGGGUUAAGUCCCUUAACGAGCGAAACCCCUGUCGUCAGUUACCAUCAGGUAAAGCUGGGGACUCUGGCGAGACUGCCGGCGUUAAGCCGGAGGAAGGUGGGGACGACGUCAAGUCAUCGUGGCCCUUAUGUCCAGGGAUGCACACGUGCUACAAUGGCUAUUACAAAGCGCUGCAAGGCCGCGAGGCGGAGCAAAUCGCAAAAAAACUGCCCCAGUUCGG
rnacentral:rRNA from 1 species